ensembl:lncRNA
GGGAUACAGUUAAGAUGUGGUGGCAAGAGAACUGAAUGUCUCAGAAAAUGUUAUAAAAAUUAAAUUUCAACCAGGGAGCUGUUGUCAGAAAUUUGGUAUUUUAUUUUACCACCAAUCCUAAAAAAAUUGGUUUGCCACUUAUAUUUCCUAAAAAAAAAAAAAAAUAAAUAGAUAGAUAAGCAAACAGCAACAACAACCAACUGGAUACUUACAUUUUUAAUUACUUCCUUGUUUCAGUACCUCAAUCAUACCUCAGUACAUUUUAAGAGAUUGAAGUACUUAGAAGCUAUAAAACCAUUAUUAUUAUUAUUAUUAUUAUUUUAUUAUUAUUGCUCUUAUGAAUGCUAUGUCUGUCAUGAAAAAGCUAAGUUCAGUGUAUGUGCUAUUAGUUGGAGUUUUCUGUGAUUUUGCCACUGUAGCUCCCACAUGUGUGGAGUACUAGAUCUCAUGGCUUGGUUAUUUUAUACCUCAGGGUUCUUAACCAGGGCACAGGCAACAAGUUUCCAACCACCAGCUGUGAUGCAUUGGUUGUGAUGGUGCUAGAUGUGUAGCUCCUACACAGUCUGGUGGUCAUGGAUGUCAUGUGUUGUGGUUUCCUCCUUUGUCCACGCCAGGAAAGCCUGCUCUCCUGCCAUGUGACUCCUCUGUUAUGUAACUCUAAACCACAACUGUGAGGAUGAGCAAACACUGACAAGGCUCUAUGGUUUGCAGACAGAUUCAACUAUGUCCUUCAAGGGAGUCUUCAUUUAGGUGAGGCCAUGAAGACCAGAUUGCCAUCACAAGGAAAAAUUUGAGAUUAUCAAGUUGCUGCUCUGCUGAAAGCCAGGGGAAGACAUGCUUUUGCCUUUUUAUAAUGGUUUGGGGCCUCCAUACUGAUCUCUUGGUACUGUCUCUCCCCAUCUCUAAAAGAAGUCCAUGAUGUCAGCUACAUUACAGACUUGUGUUUUUUUUGUUGUUUUUUUUUUGUUUGUUUGUUUUUUGUUCAGACCCCAGAUUUCACAUUCAUUUUCUGGAUAUGUCAUUUCUAGCACCUGUGUGAGGGAGGGAAGUAUCCCUGCUUCUGCCGAGAAGGGGAGGGGAAGUGUGAAUGGAAAGAUGGCUUCCAGCAAAUGUUCCCAAGAAAAACAGACUCUGAAGUCCUUGGGAGUGCUUAUUCAUUUGGGAACUAUGACUUGUCAGCAUUUGCUUUGCUUUCAAUACCACAGAUUUGCAGAAUUGAAUGACAUGCUCUCUUCUGACUAAUGCUGAAGCUCCGGUAUUGCUGCUGACUUUCCUGAGGACAAACAAAUAACGUGAUACUGCAAACACAGGACAAAAAAAUCUGACCUGAAUUGUUGUUCUGCACAUAAUCAUGUAGAAGGCGCUUACCCCUGAAGAGUUUCUAAAAUAUCUACUGCAUUUUAUCUUCUGAAGACUCUGCAGCAAAUGCAAACUCCUUAGUUAAGGAUAUAACUUUCAACUGUACACACCAAAAGAAAACAUCAGGAGAAAUCUAUGUUGGGAAUUGGUAUACAGACGUGGACAUGAGUUCAAUAUGAGCUUGCUUUAAGCAAGCAGGAGCAGGCCUUAGAAAAUCUCGCGGCCUGCUGUAGCUGAGCAAACCAAGCUACCAGAGUAGCCGUGAGAAGAUCCCACGGCAGCGACUCCCACAUCGCCCAAUUAAGGAACUCAGAAGAAUGUUGUUAUCAGCAGCUGGACUCAAGGACAAGGUCUACAUGAUUGCUAAUCACAAGGGGGGUUCUUUUCUUGCAGGUGGGAUUGUUUUCUUAUAGUUGUUUGUCUGAGUGCUUUUGUCCAAUAAUCUUGUGUGAAACACUGUACGCCUCUGUCAAAUUCACUAUAAAAGCUAGGCUAUUCGGGCAAUAAAAUGAAGUUCACUGAUCACUCAUAUUGAGCGUCUGUGUCUUCCCUCCGUCGAUGACAAAUCUAUACCCAGUAUCCAAUGGAUCAAAUCCCUGUAGAGUUGAGAAAUCUUUUUGGUAGCAAUAACAAUCCAGUGAACACCCACCAUCAUUCUCUUCCAAACUAACAUGUAGAAAACUAACAUAUGCUAUGCUGAUCCUUAAUGAGGCAGAUGAUUUAUAUGAGCAUAUGAACACUAGUGAAGUUAGAAAGGGGUUUGAAAGAUCUCAGGUUUCCAUGCUGUGAAAGACGUCAGAGAGUAAAAAAUCUCCUUUCUCCUAAAGCUGUUGCUCCCAUGCUGAAGAGAGAAACUUCUACUGAUACCGUGAGUGGGG